UACGUAGGGGGCAAGCGUUGUCCGGAAUCAUUGGGCGUAAAGAGCGUGUAGGCGGUCCGGUAAGUCGGUUGUGAAAGUCCAGGGCUCAACCCUGGGAUGCCGAUCGAUACUGUCGGACUAGAGUUCGGAAGAGGCGAGUGGAAUUCCCGGUGUAGCGGUGAAAUGCGCAGAUAUCGGGAGGAAAACAAAUGGCGAAGGCAGCUCGCUGGGACGUUACUGAAGCUGAGACGCGAAAGCGUGGGGAGAAAACAGG
rnacentral:rRNA from 1 species